rnacentral:rRNA from 1 species
GACGAACGCUGGCGGCGUGCUUAACACAUGCAAGUCGAACGGAAAGGCCCUGCUCUUGUGGGGUGCUCGAGUGGCGAGCGGGUGAGUGACACGUGAGUAACAUGCCCUUGACUUUGGGAUAACUUCAGGAAACUGGGGCUAAUAUCGGAUAGGAGCUCCUGCUGCGUGGUGGGGGUUGGAGAGUUUCGGCGGUUGGGGAUGGACUCGCGGGUUAUCCGCUUGUUGGGGAGGUAGUUGCUUACCAAGGCUUUGACGGGUAGCCGGCCUUGGAGCGUGACCGGGCACCUUGCGACUGAGAUACGCCGCAGACUCCUACGGGCGGCAGCAGUGGGGAAUAUUACACAAUGGGCGCACGCCUGAUGCAGCGACGCCGCGUGCGGGAUGCCGGCCUUCGGGUUGUAAACCGCUUUCGCCUGUGACGAAGCCUGAGUGACGGUACUGGGUAAAGAAGCAACGGCUAACUACGUG